GGGGAAUCUUGCGCAAUGCACGAAAGUGUGACGCAGCAACGCCGCGUGCGGGAAGAAGGUCUUCGGAUCGUAAACCGCUUUCAGUUGGGACGAGGGUCAGCAGGUGAAUAGCCUGUCUGACUGACGGUACCUUCAGAAGAAGCCCCGGCUAACUACGUGCCAGCAGCCGCGGUAAUACGUAGGGGGCAAGCGUUAUCCGGAAUCAUUGGGCGUAAAGCGCGUGUAGGCGGUCCACCAAGUCCGCUCUGAAAGCCCAGGGCUCAACCCUGGGAGGCGGGUGGAUACUGGUGGACUAGAGUCUGGAAGAGGAGAUUGGAAUUCCUGGUGUAGCGGUGAAAUGCGCAGAUAUCAGGAGGAACACCAACAGCGAAGGCAGAUCUCUGGGACAUGACUGACGCUGAGACGCGAAAGCGUGGGGAGCAAAC
rnacentral:rRNA from 1 species